GGGCGCAUGGCUCAGUGGUAGAGCGCAUUCCUGAUAAGAAUGAAGUCCAUGGUUCGAUCCCAUGUGCGCCCA
rfam:Microgenomates (Woesebacteria) bacterium GW2011_GWC2_31_9 TR21_C0007, whole genome shotgun sequence.